GCAGAGUAGGACGUACGCGUGAAGUGCCGUCGGGACGGGGAGUUUGCCUGACGGACGAAAGUCGAACGGUGUCGGCUGCGAUACAUUUGUGUCGCGGAGGCUUAUCGGUCGGCUGCGGUGUACGCUCCGCAUCCCGCUGU
rnacentral:ncRNA from 1 species